rnacentral:rRNA from 1 species
UACGGAAGGGGCAAGCGUUAUUCGGAAUUAUUGGGCGUAAAGGGCGCGUAGGCGGCUUGGCAAGUGGAAGGUGAAAUCCCUCGGCUUAACCGAGGAACUGCCCUCCAAACUGCUUCGCUUGAGACCGGGAGAGGUGAGUGGAAUUCCCAGUGUAGCGGUGAAAUGCGUAGAUAUUGGGAGGAACACCAGUGGCGAAGGCGGCUCACUGGACCGGUACUGACGCUGAUGCGCGAAAGCGUGGGGAGCAAACAGG